UCUCGAUAGCGUAAAAGUUAACUCAAAUUUGUAUGGAGUUCGAACUUUUACAUACGUUUACCGCUAGGGGCGCUGUACUAACUGCAUACGAAUUUAAGUUAACUUUUACGCUAUCGA
rnacentral:pre_miRNA from 9 species